GGCUGAGUGGCUUAGUGGAUAAAGCACAGUCCUGGGAGCCAGAGGACCUGGGUUCUAAUCCCAACUCUGCCA
rnacentral:tRNA from 1 species